rnacentral:rRNA from 1 species
UACGUAGGGUGCGAGCGUUGCCCGGAUUUAUUGGGCGUAAAGGGCGCGUAGGCGGCCACGCACGUCCGUUGUGAAAUCGCCCGGCUCAACUGGGCGGGGUCAGCGGAUACGGUGUGGCUAGAGCAAGCUAGGGGGCAAUGGAAUUCCCGGUGUAGUGGUGGAAUGCGUAGAUAUCGGGAGGAACACCAGUGGCGAAGGCGGUUGCCUGGAGCUUUGCUAACGCUGAUGCGCGAAAGCGUGGGGAGCGAUCCGG